UAUUUCUGCAUGUGUAGUUUGCAUUCAAGUUCCAUAAGCUGUUAAGAAAAAUCUAGAAAAGUAAAACUAGAACCUAUUUUUAACCGAAGAACUACUUUUUGCCUCCCUCACAAAGGCGGCGGAAGGUGAUCGAAUUCCGGUGAUGCGAGUUGUUCUCCGUCUAUAAAUACGCCUCGCCCGAGCUGUGCGGUAGGCAUUGAGGCAGCCAGCGCAGGGGCUUCUGCUGAGGGGGCAGGCGGAGCUUGAGGAAACCGCAGAUAAGUUUUUUUCUCUUUGAAAGAUAGAGAUUAAUACAACUACUUAAAAAAUAUAGUCAAUAGGUUACUAAGAUAUUGCUUAGCGUUAAGUUUUUAACGUAAUUUUAAUAGCUUAAGAUUUUAAGAGAAAAUAUGAAGACUUAGAAGAGUAGCAUGAGGAAGGAAAAGAUAAAAGGUUUCUAAAACAUGACGGAGGUUGAGAUGAAGCUUCUUCAUGGAGUAAAAAAUGUAUUUAAAAGAAAAUUGAGAGAAAGGACUACAGAGCCCCGAAUUAAUACCAAUAGAAGGGCAAUGCUUUUAGAUUAAAAUGAAGGUGACUUAAACAGCUUAAAGUUUAGUUUAAAAGUUGUAGGUGAUUAAAAUAAUUUGAAGGCGAUCUUUUAAAAAGAGAUUAAACCGAAGGUGAUUAAAAGACCUUGAAAUCCAUGACGCAGGGAGAAUUGCGUCAUUUAAAGCCUAGUUAACGCAUUUACUAAACGCAGACGAAAAUGGAAAGAUUAAUUGGGAGUGGUAGGAUGAAACAAUUUGGAGAAGAUAGAAGUUUGAAGUGGAAAACUGGAAGACAGAAGUACGGGAAGGCGAAGAAAAGAAUAGAGAAGAUAGGGAAAUUAGAAGAUAAAAACAUACUUUUAGAAGAAAAAAGAUAAAUUUAAACCUGAAAAGUAGGAAGCAGAAGAAAAAAGACAAGCUAGGAAACAAAAAGCUAAGGGCAAAAUGUACAAACUUAGAAGAAAAUUGGAAGAUAGAAACAAGAUAGAAAAUGAAAAUAUUGUCAAGAGUUUCAGAUAGAAAAUGAAAAACAAGCUAAGACAAGUAUUGGAGAAGUAUAGAAGAUAGAAAAAUAUAAAGCCAAAAAUUGGAUAAAAUAGCACUGAAAAAAUGAGGAAAUUAUUGGUAACCAAUUUAUUUUAAAAGCCCAUCAAUUUAAUUUCUGGUGGUGCAGAAGUUAGAAGGUAAAGCUUGAGAAGAUGAGGGUGUUUACGUAGACCAGAACCAAUUUAGAAGAAUACUUGAAGCUAGAAGGGGAAGUUGGUUAAAAAUCACAUCAAAAAGCUACUAAAAGGACUGGUGUAAUUUAAAAAAAACUAAGGCAGAAGGCUUUUGGAAGAGUUAGAAGAAUUUGGAAGGCCUUAAAUAUAGUAGCUUAGUUUGAAAAAUGUGAAGGACUUUCGUAACGGAAGUAAUUCAAGAUCAAGAGUAAUUACCAACUUAAUGUUUUUGCAUUGGACUUUGAGUUAAGAUUAUUUUUUAAAUCCUGAGGACUAGCAUUAAUUGACAGCUGACCCAGGUGCUACACAGAAGUGGAUUCAGUGAAUCUAGGAAGACAGCAGCAGACAGGAUUCCAGGAACCAGUGUUUGAUGAAGCUAGGACUGAGGAGCAAGCGAGCAAGCAGCAGUUCGUGGUGAAGAUAGGAAAAGAGUCCAGGAGCCAGUGCGAUUUGGUGAAGGAAGCUAGGAAGAAGGAAGGAGCGCUAACGAUUUGGUGGUGAAGCUAGGAAAAAGGAUUCCAGGAAGGAGCGAGUGCAAUUUGGUGAUGAAGGUAGCAGGCGGCUUGGCUUGGCAACCACACGGAGGAGGCGAGCAGGCGUUGUGCGUAGAGGAUCCUAGACCAGCAUGCCAGUGUGCCAAGGCCACAGGGAAAGCGAGUGGUUGGUAAAAAUCCGUGAGGUCGGCAAUAUGUUGUUUUUCUGGAACUUACUUAUGGUAACCUUUUAUUUAUUUUCUAAUAUAAUGGGGGAGUUUCGUACUGAGGUGUAAAGGGAUUUAUAUGGGGACGUAGGCCGAUUUCCGGGUGUUGUAGGUUUCUCUUUUUCAGGCUUAUACUCAUGAAUCUUGUCUGAAGCUUUUGAGGGCAGACUGCCAAGUCCUGGAGAAAUAGUAGAUGGCAAGUUUGUGGGUUUUUUUUUUUUACACGAAUUUGAGGAAAACCAAAUGAAUUUGAUAGCCAAAUUGAGACAAUUUCAGCAAAUCUGUAAGCAGUUUGUAUGUUUAGUUGGGGUAAUGAAGUAUUUCAGUUUUGUGAAUAGAUGACCUGUUUUUACUUCCUCACCCUGAAUUCGUUUUGUAAAUGUAGAGUUUGGAUGUGUAACUGAGGCGGGGGGGAGUUUUCAGUAUUUUUUUUUGUGGGGGUGGGGGCAAAAUAUGUUUUCAGUUCUUUUUCCCUUAGGUCUGUCUAGAAUCCUAAAGGCAAAUGACUCAAGGUGUAACAGAAAACAAGAAAAUCCAAUAUCAGGAUAAUCAGACCACCACAGGUUUACAGUUUAUAGAAACUAGAGCAGUUCUCACGUUGAGGUCUGUGGAAGAGAUGUCCAUUGGAGAAAUGGCUGGUAGUUACUCUUUUUUCCCCCCACCCCCUUAAUCAGACUUUAAAAGUGCUUAACCCCUUAAACUUGUUAUUUUUUACUUGAAGCAUUUUGGGAUGGUCUUAACAGGGAAGAGAGAGGGUGGGGGAGAAAAUGUUUUUUUCUAAGAUUUUCCACAGAUGCUAUAGUACUAUUGACAAACUGGGUUAGAGAAGGAGUGUACCGCUGUGCUGUUGGCACGAACACCUUCAGGGACUGGAGCUGCUUUUAUCCUUGGAAGAGUAUUCCCAGUUGAAGCUGAAAAGUACAGCACAGUGCAGCUUUGGUUCAUAUUCAGUCAUCUCAGGAGAACUUCAGAAGAGCUUGAGUAGGCCAAAUGUUGAAGUUAAGUUUUCCAAUAAUGUGACUUCUUAAAAGUUUUAUUAAAGGGGAGGGGCAAAUAUUGGCAAUUAGUUGGCAGUGGCCUGUUACGGUUGGGAUUGGUGGGGUGGGUUUAGGUAAUUGUUUAGUUUAUGAUUGCAGAUAAACUCAUGCCAGAGAACUUAAAGUCUUAGAAUGGAAAAAGUAAAGAAAUAUCAACUUCCAAGUUGGCAAGUAACUCCCAAUGAUUUAGUUUUUUUCCCCCCAGUUUGAAUUGGGAAGCUGGGGGAAGUUAAAUAUGAGCCACUGGGUGUACCAGUGCAUUAAUUUGGGCAAGGAAAGUGUCAUAAUUUGAUACUGUAUCUGUUUUCCUUCAAAGUAUAGAGCUUUUGGGGAAGGAAAGUAUUGAACUGGGGGUUGGUCUGGCCUACUGGGCUGACAUUAACUACAAUUAUGGGAAAUGCAAAAGUUGUUUGGAUAUGGUAGUGUGUGGUUCUCUUUUGGAAUUUUUUUCAGGUGAUUUAAUAAUAAUUUAAAACUACUAUAGAAACUGCAGAGCAAAGGAAGUGGCUUAAUGAUCCUGAAGGGAUUUCUUCUGAUGGUAGCUUUUGUAUUAUCAAACUUUUUUCAGAUAACAUCUUCUGAGUCAUAACCAGCCUGGCAGUAUGAUGGCCUAGAUGCAGAGAAAACAGCUCCUUGGUGAAUUGAUAAGUAAAGGCAGAAAAGAUUAUAUGUCAUACCUCCAUUGGGGAAUAAGCAUAACCCUGAGAUUCUUACUACUGAUGAGAACAUUAUCUGCAUAUGCCAAAAAAUUUUAAGCAAAUGAAAGCUACCAAUUUAAAGUUACGGAAUCUACCAUUUUAAAGUUAAUUGCUUGUCAAGCUAUAACCACAAAAAUAAUGAAUUGAUGAGAAAUACAAUGAAGAGGCAAUGUCCAUCUCAAAAUACUGCUUUUACAAAAGCAGAAUAAAAGCGAAAAGAAAUGAAAAUGUUACACUACAUUAAUCCUGGAAUAAAAGAAGCCGAAAUAAAUGAGAGAUGAGUUGGGAUCAAGUGGAUUGAGGAGGCUGUGCUGUGUGCCAAUGUUUCGUUUGCCUCAGACAGGUAUCUCUUCGUUAUCAGAAGAGUUGCUUCAUUUCAUCUGGGAGCAGAAAACAGCAGGCAGCUGUUAACAGAUAAGUUUAACUUGCAUCUGCAGUAUUGCAUGUUAGGGAUAAGUGCUUAUUUUUAAGAGCUGUGGAGUUCUUAAAUAUCAACCAUGGCACUUUCUCCUGACCCCUUCCCUAGGGGAUUUCAGGAUUGAGAAAUUUUUCCAUCGAGCCUUUUUAAAAUUGUAGGACUUGUUCCUGUGGGCUUCAGUGAUGGGAUAGUACACUUCACUCAGAGGCAUUUGCAUCUUUAAAUAAUUUCUUAAAAGCCUCUAAAGUGAUCAGUGCCUUGAUGCCAACUAAGGAAAUUUGUUUAGCAUUGAAUCUCUGAAGGCUCUAUGAAAGGAAUAGCAUGAUGUGCUGUUAGAAUCAGAUGUUACUGCUAAAAUUUACAUGUUGUGAUGUAAAUUGUGUAGAAAACCAUUAAAUCAUUCAAAAUAAUAAACUAUUUUUAUUAGAGAAUGUAUACUUUUAGAAAGCUGUCUCCUUAUUUAAAUAAAAUAGUGUUUGUCUGUAGUUCAGUGUUGGGGCAAUCUUGGGGGGGAUUCUUCUCUAAUCUUUCAGAAACUUUGUCUGCGAACACUCUUUAAUGGACCAGAUCAGGAUUUGAGCGGAAGAACGAAUGUAACUUUAAGGCAGGAAAGACAAAUUUUAUUCUUCAUAAAGUGAUGAGCAUAUAAUAAUUCCAGGCACAUGGCAAUAGAGGCCCUCUAAAUAAGGAAUAAAUAACCUCUUAGACAGGUGGGAGAUUAUGAUCAGAGUAAAAGGUAAUUACACAUUUUAUUUCCAGAAAGUCAGGGGUCUAUAAAUUGACAGUGAUUAGAGUAAUACUUUUUCACAUUUCCAAAGUUUGCAUGUUAACUUUAAAUGCUUACAAUCUUAGAGUGGUAGGCAAUGUUUUACACUAUUGACCUUAUAUAGGGAAGGGAGGGGGUGCCUGUGGGGUUUUAAAGAAUUUUCCUUUGCAGAGGCAUUUCAUCCUUCAUGAAGCCAUUCAGGAUUUUGAAUUGCAUAUGAGUGCUUGGCUCUUCCUUCUGUUCUAACUUCACAGAGAAUGCAGUUGUCUUGACUUCAGGUCUGUCUGUUCUGUUGGCAAGUAAAUGCAGUACUGUUCUGAUCCCGCUGCUAUUAGAAUGCAUUGUGAAACGACUGGAGUAUGAUUAAAAGUUGUGUUCCCCAAUGCUUGGAGUAGUGAUUGUUGAAGGAAAAAAUCCAGCUGAGUGAUAAAGGCUGAGUGUUGAGGAAAUUUCUGCAGUUUUAAGCAGUCGUAUUUGUGAUUGAAGCUGAGUACAUUUUGCUGGUGUAUUUUUAGGUAAAAUGCUUUUUGUUCAUUUCUGGUGGUGGGAGGGGACUGAAGCCUUUAGUCUUUUCCAGAUGCAACCUUAAAAUCAGUGACAAGAAACAUUCCAAACAAGCAACAGUCUUCAAGAAAUUAAACUGGCAAGUGGAAAUGUUUAAACAGUUCAGUGAUCUUUAGUGCAUUGUUUAUGUGUGGGUUUCUCUCUCCCCUCCCUUGGUCUUAAUUCUUACAUGCAGGAACACUCAGCAGACACACGUAUGCGAAGGGCCAGAGAAGCCAGACCCAGUAAGAAAAAAUAGCCUAUUUACUUUAAAUAAACCAAACAUUCCAUUUUAAAUGUGGGGAUUGGGAACCACUAGUUCUUUCAGAUGGUAUUCUUCAGACUAUAGAAGGAGCUUCCAGUUGAAUUCACCAGUGGACAAAAUGAGGAAAACAGGUGAACAAGCUUUUUCUGUAUUUACAUACAAAGUCAGAUCAGUUAUGGGACAAUAGUAUUGAAUAGAUUUCAGCUUUAUGCUGGAGUAACUGGCAUGUGAGCAAACUGUGUUGGCGUGGGGGUGGAGGGGUGAGGUGGGCGCUAAGCCUUUUUUUAAGAUUUUUCAGGUACCCCUCACUAAAGGCACCGAAGGCUUAAAGUAGGACAACCAUGGAGCCUUCCUGUGGCAGGAGAGACAACAAAGCGCUAUUAUCCUAAGGUCAAGAGAAGUGUCAGCCUCACCUGAUUUUUAUUAGUAAUGAGGACUUGCCUCAACUCCCUCUUUCUGGAGUGAAGCAUCCGAAGGAAUGCUUGAAGUACCCCUGGGCUUCUCUUAACAUUUAAGCAAGCUGUUUUUAUAGCAGCUCUUAAUAAUAAAGCCCAAAUCUCAAGCGGUGCUUGAAGGGGAGGGAAAGGGGGAAAGCGGGCAACCACUUUUCCCUAGCUUUUCCAGAAGCCUGUUAAAAGCAAGGUCUCCCCACAAGCAACUUCUCUGCCACAUCGCCACCCCGUGCCUUUUGAUCUAGCACAGACCCUUCACCCCUCACCUCGAUGCAGCCAGUAGCUUGGAUCCUUGUGGGCAUGAUCCAUAAUCGGUUUCAAGGUAACGAUGGUGUCGAGGUCUUUGGUGGGUUGAACUAUGUUAGAAAAGGCCAUUAAUUUGCCUGCAAAUUGUUAACAGAAGGGUAUUAAAACCACAGCUAAGUAGCUCUAUUAUAAUACUUAUCCAGUGACUAAAACCAACUUAAACCAGUAAGUGGAGAAAUAACAUGUUCAAGAACUGUAAUGCUGGGUGGGAACAUGUAACUUGUAGACUGGAGAAGAUAGGCAUUUGAGUGGCUGAGAGGGCUUUUGGGUGGGAAUGCAAAAAUUCUCUGCUAAGACUUUUUCAGGUGAACAUAACAGACUUGGCCAAGCUAGCAUCUUAGCGGAAGCUGAUCUCCAAUGCUCUUCAGUAGGGUCAUGAAGGUUUUUCUUUUCCUGAGAAAACAACACGUAUUGUUUUCUCAGGUUUUGCUUUUUGGCCUUUUUCUAGCUUAAAAAAAAAAAAAGCAAAAGAUGCUGGUGGUUGGCACUCCUGGUUUCCAGGACGGGGUUCAAAUCCCUGCGGCGUCUUUGCUUUGACUACUAAUCUGUCUUCAGGACUCUUUCUGUAUUUCUCCUUUUCUCUGCAGGUGCUAGUUCUUGGAGUUUUGGGGAGGUGGGAGGUAACAGCACAAUAUCUUUGAACUAUAUACAUCCUUGAUGUAUAAUUUGUCAGGAGCUUGACUUGAUUGUAUAUUCAUAUUUACACGAGAACCUAAUAUAACUGCCUUGUCUUUUUCAGGUAAUAGCCUGCAGCUGGUGUUUUGAGAAGCCCUACUGCUGAAAACUUAACAAUUUUGUGUAAUAAAAAUGGAGAAGCUCUAAAUUGUUGUGGUUCUUUUGUGAAUAAAAAAAUCUUGAUUGG
rnacentral:lncRNA from 1 species